CUGCUGUCUUCACAUGUGAAUGUAGUAAAACGUUUAAUUGUAUAGACCUGGAACAGAAAACAGCACACCCGUCCAAUCAGCUCAGACAAUAAAUAUACACUGUAGUCUGUCCUGCUGCCGGAGUCUAUUAUUGGAGCAGAGAGUACAGUACAGUGAGUACAGUGAGGACACGUUGCAGGACUGUGCAGGUGACGAGAUCUCCUUCCUGUGGAUGUGCCCAUUUCACUUCUGCUGGUGUAAGGACUAAAAGACGCUGGACUGGAGCUCACAGGAAGUGAAAAAGACACUGCAUUUCUGACAAGGUCAACAGAUCUAGGACUACCAUUAACAUCGUCAACAACUUGCACUUCCGAGUAUAUCAGACGCCUAUACAUCCCAGCUACAAUUCUAGGCCACUACAUCACUGUGUCUCUGCAACUCUAAAGGUUUAUUUUUUAUUUUUUUAUAAAACGACAAUGAAGAUCUGGCUGGAAAUAAGACCCUGAUAGAAGGCCUCAGGUCAACAUGUCCCCUCCAGCAUCUGACCAUUAUGGAGAGAAGCAUGAAGACCAAAGUGUUUACUAUCCAUGUUCAUUGCUUCCUGUUGGAUGUUCUUUUAUCGCAGAGCUUUGGGAGGUGACUAGAUUGCCUUGUUACUGGGGAAAUCUGGACAAGUACCAAGCGGAAAUUUUGUUACUAGGGCAUCCUGAUGGCACGUUUAUCCUCCGAAACUCAUCCCAAGAAGGCUGCGCCUUUGCCGUCACUUUCCGCAGAAAAGGAUGUACCCGCCACGCUCGUGUUCAGUACAGAGAAAAGUACUUCAGUUUUCCAUGGGGGAGCGUCCACUCUCCUACAAUUGAUAACCUACUGAAGCAGUACGAUGAUCCUAAAACAUGUACAUUCUUUGAACCACUUCUAACCAAACCUCUAAAUCGCACUACAGCUCUAAGCCUACAAGAACUUUGUCGGGCAGCAGUCAAUGCUGCCAUACCCUACAACACCAUCAGUCAACUUCCACUGCCAGGAGCUAUGAAACAGUACUUGCUUGACUAUCACUACAAGGAUAUACUUUCAGGAAACGAAGAAGAUUCAUUAUGACUUACAACUGAAGGACUUUAACAAUCGAUAUUUCAGUAAUAUGAACUGCAUUGGUAACAUUUGUGUGUUGAAAGUUUUUGGAUUUUGCCUAUUUGUGAAAUGUGCAUGGAAAGGAUGGGCAAAACGAACAGUCUUCACGCCAACAUCAAAUGAAGUACAGUUUGACAAUUCUGGCCUUUACUUAUGGUAAUUUGUUUGUCUGGUUCUAUUAAUAGGCUAGUCUUGGUUAUAUGAAUGAUAAACUCCAUUAAAAAAAAAAAAAUUAAAAAAAUAUAUGUUUAGGUGAUUGUAGGCAUAUCAGGGUACUUACAAGACUUUCAGUAAUAAUUGUUUUUUUACUUGCAUUAGCAGUUACAUUUUCAGGAAACUUUCGUGUUAUAUGCCCCUCUUCUAAAGUUGGACCCUAGAAGAAGAGGGUAUACCUCAAAACCUUAUCCCGAAAGUUUAACUAAGGCGACUUUCACACUGGGCGGACUCUGCCAGGACACAGCCUGCUCUCCCCUAUGAGCGCUCAGGCGUAAUUUGAAUGCCUGUCUGUUUACGCCCGAUUGUCAUCCGAUCCGCUAGACAGAUCGGGGAUGCCAUUUUGUCUGUUUUUGUUUGUUUACAUCUAGGGCUGCAACUAACGAUUAUUU